UAUGAAGAGAAGUUAUAGAUUAAACAUAUCGGUGCUCAUUGGCCAUUGUACAUAAAGAUUACACAACAAGUUGGAAAUCGCAAAUUCAACAAUGAGUCACUUGGAAGGAAUCAGUGACUAACUGCAAGCGUUGCAAAGAAACCUCGAAAGUUAGCCUACUUUUCAAUGUGUUUUUUUUUCUCCAGAGUUCUCACCAAAGGACUACUGCGCCACCUUCACAAGGUCCAGACUGGGGACAAAAGGACGGUUGGUGACAAUGGUAGUGCCCUUGCCAUUGGCAGAGAGAAGGAUGGUGUGUUUCAUUAUCCUGGAUGGAGAGCUGCCUGCGUCGGUCUUGGAAGGUGCGUGAGAGCGUGGACAGGCGGAAUGGGGUCUGCGUGGAGUGGGGUCUGCGUCACACUCUGUCAGGAACUGAUCCAUCUCAUCCUCUUCCCGCUGCAGCUCGGAACAGAACGUAGAUUCACUGCAGAGCAGAGAGAUCCACAGCGAGAGAGAGUGAGUAGGGGAUGAAGACAGAGGAGCAUCUAAACAGGCUACAUACAAAGGCGUUGAUCUGGACCGACCAUCAAGCUUUUCUG
rnacentral:lncRNA from 1 species